GGAGAGUACAGCUCAGUGGUAGAGUGCAUGCUUAGCAUGUACAAGGUCCUGGGUUCAAUUCCCAGAACCUCCA
rnacentral:tRNA from 1 species